GCAGUCCAAUUUACAGGCUGGAGCAGCAGCUGCAUCCUGCAUUUCCCCGAAGUAUUACAUGAUUUUCACUCCUUGCAAACUUUGCCAUCUUUGUUGCAGAGAAUCGGGAAUCCAAAUGAGACUCAGAACAAUAGCACAAGCUGGCCUGUCUUCAAAAGCACUGAACAAAAAUAUCUAACCUUGAAUACAGAGUCAACAAGAAUAAUGACGAAACUACGUGCUCAACAAUGUCGAUUCUGGACAUCAUUUUUUCCAAAAGUCUUGGAAAUGACAGAGCCUAUAUGCUGCUACUGUGAGCCAGGAACUGCACUAGCAGCUAGAGCUGCACAGAUGAAAAUGACAGGGUCUGCUUACUCACAGUGAAGUGGAGUCAGGGCCCAGGACCAUGGAAAGCUUUUAAGAAGAGAAGAUACCUGCACUGAAUCUCAAUGUGAAGGCAAAGUGGAGAGAAGCCAGAUAAGCAGGAACCAGAGAUGAAGUGUCUUGUGCAUCAUGCUAAAGAAUUUAAAUUAUAUUCUGAGUAAAGCCAUUUAGUAAUUUUAAAUGAGAAACUGAUAUGUUCUGGUUAUUGAUUCAUAAAUGUAUAAUCUUUUACUAUAUUCACGAGUUAUUCUUUUUUACCUUUGUCUUCUUAGAGUCUAGAUUGUAAGAAUAUUAUAUGGCAUCAACAUAAUAAUUUCAUUUCUGAGGUAGGGUCUUUCUUCCAAAUAGCUGCUUUUGUUUGCUGGUUCAUUCGCAU
rnacentral:lncRNA from 1 species